UACUAUGGAAGCCUUUGCAACCCCCCGGGGGUCCCCGACUAUAACUGGGACAGCAAGUCGCCUCGGCGGCAACAUGAUCGAAUUGCGGGGACGUCCUAAAGCUCUCACCACUCCCCUCCAUCAGAAACGAUGGGGGCUCGUCACAGCGUGAGAGAUGUACAAUGGGCGAUCCGCAGCGAAGCCCCGUCAGCCUACCCUGUAGGCCCGGGGACCGUUCACAGACUAGGUGGUCAUGGGCACCGCGGUGCUUAAGAUAUAGUCGGCCAGCUGGGGAAACCUGACUGCUAGCGCGUUCCGUAGGUGAACCUGCGGAAGGAUCAUUACAGAGUUCCUGCCCUCACGGGUAGAAACCCCACCCUUGUGUAUAUUAUAUUGUUGCUUUAGCAGGUCGCCCUCUGGGCGUCGGCCUCGGCUGACUGUGCCUGCUAGAGGACCCUAAAUUUUGAAAUACAGUGUCGUCUGAGUACUAUUUAAUAGUUAAAACUUUCAACAACGGAUCUCUUGGUUCUGGCAUCGAUGAAGAACGCAGCGAAAUGCGAUAAGUAAUGUGAAUUGCAGAAUUCAGUGAAUCAUCGAAUCUUUGAACGCACAUUGCGCCCCUUGGUAUUCCGGGGGGCAUGCCUGUUCGAGCGUCAUUUAGACCAACUCCCGCUCCGGCGGGGUCUUGGGCUGCGCCUUU
rnacentral:misc_RNA from 1 species